rnacentral:rRNA from 1 species
UACGAAGGGGGCUAGCGUUGCUCGGAAUCACUGGGCGUAAGGCGCACGUAGGCGGAUUGUUAAGUCAGGGGUGAAAUCCUGGAGCUCAACUCCAGAACUGCCUUUGAUACUGGCGAUCUUGAGUUCGGGAGAGGUGAGUGGAACUGCGAGUGUAGAGGUGAAAUUCGUAGAUAUUCGCAAGAACACCAGUGGCGAAGGCGGCUCACUGGCCCGAUACUGACGCUGAGGUGCGAAAGCGUGGGGAGCAAACAGG